ACUCCUACGGGAGGCAGCAGCGGGGAAUAUUGCGCAAUGGGCGAAAGCCUGACGCAGCGACGCCGCGUGAGGGAUGAAGGCCUUCGGGUUGUAAACCUCUUUCAGCAGGGACGAAGCGAAAGUGACGGUACCUGCAGAAGAAGCACCGGCCAACUACGUGCCAGCAGCCGCGGUAAU
rnacentral:rRNA from 1 species